AAAAGGAAAACGAGAUGCGAAACGAAGGGCAACAAUAACAAAACUAAAUUACAUAUGCACACAUAACUUGUCAAUGGGUUCACUGAGAGAAAAUCCUGGUCGUACCUCAAAUUUGUGCUUAUAUAAUCACACACUGCCAAGAAAGCCUUGUCUUUCAAUCAUUUAUGCCUCGUAUUCCAUUGAGCUGACACCAAGCACUUGGCUUGGCUUGUAUAUUUGUGUAUUUCAUAUUCUGAAUGCAAUAUCGCCAGAUAAGACCCCAAAAAAAGUUGGCUUCCCUUCAUACAAUUAUUUGAGCGCAGACCCCUGUUUUCUCGCAGUGUAUGUGUGGAUCUUCGUGAGUGUAGUCGUUAUGCGAAAUGACAAGAACAAGCCGAGGGACAACAACAAUGGCAAACACAUUUUCUGAUUAGUUUGCAGAGGUCACAUUAGUCCCUAGUCGCUUAGAAACGCUGACAAGCGGCAAAAAUCUGUAUAAACGGCCUGUGUAAACGGUAGAGAGAGACGGCAAGGGUCAAGCGGUUAGAGAGAAAGGGAAAAAGAGAGGGAAGCUCUAUAGCGCGCUGUCGAAAGUGUGGAAAACUUUCAAGGCGCAAGCCACACAGACACUCGCUUAUGUUCAUGUAUGUAUAUGCAUGUAUAAUGUUCAGAGCGUAUUAUCGAAACUUGAAGUUUUGCAUUACUAAUCAACCUCGCCUCACGAUUGGCACACUCCUCUAAUUAGCUUUCAAAUCGAAUUUAAAUUAUUCAAGAGACUCCAAAAGCCCGAAACGAGGAAUAAAACCUUCAUUUUCCAAUAGGCAAAUGACGUCAAAGGAAUAAACAGUCUGCCGCUCCGCAACCCAAUUCAAUGAGCGGAGUGCACUUUCAAGUGGCAAUAUUAUUGUAGCUAUUCGCAUGAGGAUGUCAUAAUAAUUAAAGUAAUUUGAUGACGUUAUUACAAAGCAAUUGUGCAGCAAUGCCGUCUUAUUGGCUCUUUGUUCGAAGGUAUUUUUGAGUUUAAUCAAGCUAAUUCAAUACGACAAGGAACGCUGCAUCCGAAAGCCUCGACUAUCAAAUAUAAGAUACCAAUUUUAAAAUAAAUUACAUUUCACAUACUCUCCAUUUGCAAUGCCUUUAUGCGCCAUUCUAUGCCAUUAAAUCCGCAUUUAACUCACACCUUUGGAACAUUUAUCGGAUUUCAAAGUAUUGUAGUAUCUUUUGCCCGAUUCGUUGUGCCUGGUAUGAACUCUUUGAUUAUCACUGUGACAAAUAAAUAAUUAAAACCUUAGUAGCUGCAUUGAGGUACAUGUGUACAUACAUACAUGCUUCUCGUAUAGUCAAGAUUGCUCACCAUCUCGUUAGAGUUUUUUAAAUAUGGUUAGUGUUUUUUUUAACCUUUUUUUGACUACUUCUAUCGAUUUUUUUUCAUGAAGCAUUAAGCGUUCUUUGUCAGUAGCACAUUAACGGGCUACUCCUCAUCCGGCAAACUCGAAAAAUUAGCUUAGCAUUUCACGUUUGGGCAUUUCGCCGAUUUUUUCCAGCCAGAAUGAGUGGCGUUCUUUCGGCCAAAGGUCUCUUAUUAGCCUAUCGUUUGUGGCCGGACGCUGGGAAAAUUUGUUUUUAAUUUUUCACACUUUUCUUCUUGUAUUUUCACACACAUUCCACCCACCUUUUACUUUGUCACAGCUCUUCUGCCACGCCUACCGCAUAUUAAUGAGCCGCUCUUGAAUUAGUUGCCAAGCGAGAUUCGCUGUCGUUUUUUUUUUCACCUCGCACAGCUUUUCCUGGAAUCCAGUGAGUUGAGCAACAAGCGAGAAUGUGCGGAAAAUGACUGGGGGAAGGCGGCUUUAGGCAACUUUCAUUCCUUUCGCUACCCGAAGACACUUGUGGUCCUCUACUUUUUACCUCUGGCAGCCGCACCCAGCGCAUUUGUCGUUUAUUUGCCCUCGGAUUUUUGGGAUUUACCCGUUUAAAUAUUGCUUACUGGUUGGCAAACGCUUAAAUGGAAUGGGGGAAUGCUGGCAGAAGAAUUAUACUCUCGACCAUCUUAUAGGGUAUUUAAUUUUCAUACUUUUCAGGUAUUCGAAGGUGGAAAAUGAUUAGUAAGUGGAAUGCUUUGUGCGGUGCUAAGAAAUCGAUAUCCUGCUGCUCAGCGAGACUCAUUACAAGGAGACAAAAUAUAUGGAUUUGAGGCCACUCUGUCAACGACCCGAGCGAGCCACUGACAAAGUGCAACUCGCGUUUGCAGCCACCGAGAUGGCGUGUCAUGGACCUGUCCAUUUUGGUGCGAUAUACUGGCCUCCGAGAUCCAUAUGGAAUUCGGACGAAUCCAAAGGCGUUCUGGAGCAACAAUGUUUCAAAAUCCUCGUCGCGAGCUACUGGAAUGCAUCCUGGCUAUAGGGAGCGGGGAGAUGCAACCGAAGAGGGCGUGCACUAGCGAAUCUGGUCCCAAGCUCUGAUAUGAUCCUACAAGAUUCUCGUAUAACUGUAAAGACUCCCCAGACUAUAUCGAUUAUGGGAUGUACAUGCUGAGAUACGGUCGGCUGCUGAGCUCAGCUCCUACCAUCUACCGCUUUUAAUCACCCUUGAUGCAAUAGCUAAAGGUUAACCCAAAAUUGAGCGGCUAAUCGGUAGGCACACUGACAUGGAAUGAUUCCAUGGGUAUCUAUAAUACUUCCCUCCAUACUGGAAGCUCGGCUUCAUCUCAACCUGGCAAGCCUGAACAGAACCAUGGGUCCUACCGGCCAAUCAAUCUCCUCCCUUCUAUCACGAAGGUGUUUGAGAAACUAAUUGCCACCCGGAUGGUCAGGGUUAUGGAAGCCAAGGGUAUCCUACCCGAGCUCCAGUUUGGUUUUCGUGCUGGACGCUGUACGGUAGAACAACCUCAUCGAGUGGUCGAGCAAAUUCUAUCGGCAUUUGAAAACAAGGAGUACUGCAACGCACUCUUCCUGGAUGUACGAGAGACCUUUGAUAGGGUGUGGCACUCCGGUCUCCUGCUAAAAUUAAAGCAUACGCUGCCUGCGCCUCACUUCGUCCUCCUGAGGUCGUACCUCGAAAAGAGAAGGCUUGCGGUCCUAUUCCAAUAGGCUCUCUCAUAUGAGCAGAUUGCGGCAGUGUAGUUGGUCCUCUGCUUUACUGUUUGUACAGUUACGUCAUGCCGCGGCCAGACUCUAGCCUACCCUGGACGGCAAUGUUGGCCUCACUUGCAGUUGACGUGUGUGUCACCUAAAUGUCCCGCUGCGAACACGAUGCUGCUGAUGGCAUCCAGGAAUUUGCAACAACAUUUGAAUGGGCAAGGCGCUGGAACAUUGGAAUCAAUGGUGACAAAUCAGCGGAUUUGUACUACAGGCUUAAACGGAGAACACCACCGGCUGUGCACACUGAUGGUACACCUGUCCACCAGCCAAACUCAGCCAAAUAUCUAGGAGUAAUUCUGCAUCGGAGACUUACCUUCUUGAAACACGCUGAGAAUGCGUUUACAUGCAGCGGCGUCAAAUCAGUUUUGGCUUAUAAAUUCCAGAAGCAAAUUGUCUUUCUCCAACAAGGUGACAAUUUACAAGCAAAUCAACAUGGAGGUACGGCUGUCAAAUAUGGGACUUAGCUGCAACAGCCAAAUCCGUCGUAUCCAGGCACUCUAGCCGGUAGCACGACAGCUUAUAGAGUCAUAGAAAUAGCCUAGCCAAGGCACUAACCAGAGGUCGCCCGCCCAGAAGGCUCCACAGGAGAUAGCCGAGGGACCUUAUGCUACGGCCCUCCCUGACAAGAGCCAGAAGUGAAGAUGAUGACCACAUAAUUGUUAUGUUGUUUAUAUCAUUGUUAUUUAAUUGUUAAAUCAUUGUUAUUGUUAUAGCUAACCUUGUUAGCGCCUGCAAGGACUGAAUUAAUAGAGACCAAGGUCGCAAAGGAGUUCUCAGCUACCCCGUUUUCCUUAAUAAAAUUAGAAAAAAAAAUAAUAAUAA